UAUUUACUACUACUUUCUUUCUUUGCCUUUUUAAGAAGAAUCGCUUUAUGUAAUCCCCAAUUUUAAGUCGCUUUGGAUAAAAGAGUCUAAAAAUAAAUAAAUAAAAGCAUUUUCAUCAUAUUCAAACUUAAAAAGCAGGCUUUUAUUUUGGCGGGUUUCCGGGAAGUAAGUAUACGCGCUUCCGGUUUUAGCGCUGCUGCUGAUUAAAGAGCGUCAGUGGAUGCAUGUCACAGCAGACGCCGCUCUGUCCCGCUGUCUCCUGUUUUUGAACCAGUUGCCCACCUGAGUGGGGGUGAGUCCCGUGGCCUGAGCCAGAUGACGCUUUCUGGAGGGGUUUGGAUAGGGGUCCUGCAGGUACCACUCCCUCAGGAGACUACGGGUUCGCUCCUAAAAACACAAGAACAAGACACAGCUGUCACGAAGUCCAAAGACGGACAGUGACUUCAAAGUUACAACAUCGUUCAAAAAUACUGAGUUUUUUUAUA